CCAGCGCGCCCCGCGUGGAGGAGAAGGGCGGCGGGCGGCGGCCGUGGGAGACAUUACAGUGGCCCGAGCUCGGGCGCAGGUGGCUGCCGGCGGCCCCGGAUCCUGCUGCUGUCGGCGCCGCGGGCCAUGGCGGACACGGUGUCGGUGCACGCGACGCGCUUCGAGGCAGCCGUGAGGGUGAUCCAGAGCCUGCCCCAGAACGGUUCAUUCCAGCCAACAAAUGAAAUGAUGCUCAAGUUCUACAGCUUUUAUAAGCAAGCAACCCAAGGACCGUGUAACAUUCCAAGACCUGGAUUCUGGGAUCCUAUUGGUAGAUAUAAAUGGGAUGCUUGGAGUGCUUUGGGGAAUAUGUCCAAAGAAGAAGCAAUGAUAGCCUAUGUUGAAGAAAUGAAAAAGAUUCUUGAAACUAUGCCAAUGACGGAGAAAGUUGAAGAAUUACUGCAAGUUCUUGGCCCAUUCUAUGAAAUGGUAGAGGAUAAGAAGAGUAACAGAGGAUCUGACUUAACAUCAGACCUUGGCAAUGCCUUGACUUCCACUCCAAAUCCAAAGGCUUUGAAUGGUAAAGCUGAAAGCAGUGAUAGUGGAGCAGAAUCAGAGGAGGAAGAGGUUCAUGAAGAAGAAAAAGACCUACAACUAAAUGCAAAUGAAUAUAAGAAUGUGAAGCCAGACUCAGCAGCUGCUAAAGAUUUGGAACGUAUUGUCACCAAUGGCUGUUACAAGGACAGCUUUAUUCCAGAUGCACAGAAUGGCACCCAGACAAAAUCUGCCUUGAAUGGCAUAAAUGUGGAGGAAGAAUUAAAGAAAAUGGAGCAAAGUCUAGAAGUAAUUGAUAACAAUGUCCACCAAGGUACAAAUGAAGAGAGUGUUGAAGAGGUCUCAGGAAUUCAGCAUUUGACAAGUGAUUCAGACAGUGAAGUUUAUUGUGAUUCUAUGGAGCAACUUGGACAAGAAGAGCCCUUGGAAAUCAUUACAUCAGCCAGAGGACCUUUAAAGCUCUCAUCCCAUUUCCUGGAAAUAGAUCCAAGUUAUCUAUUGGAAAGUGCUGAUUUUCCUGAGCACAUUCGCAUGACCUCUGGGAAUUUCAGGGUUGAGGAUAUAAAAGAGGCCGCAGUUGAAGGAAAAGGUGAAGUUAAAUGUGGGGGAGAAGAUGGCAAAAGCAGCAAUGGAGGCCCUCACAAAGAGAAGAAAGGUGGAGAAAAAAUGGAUUUCUAUGGAGUCAGAAGAGGGAGAGGGUACAGACUGCAACCUCUGGGUGAUGGUGCUCAAGGUGGACAGAUGGGAAGUGGAGGGGAUGGUGAACGGUGGGGAUCGGAUAGAGGGCCAAGAGGCAGCCUCAAUGAACAGAUUGCGUUAGUGCUCAUGCGGUUACAAGAAGACAUGCAGAAUGUUCUUCAGAGACUGCAUGCACUAGAGGCACUGACUGCCUCCCAGGGCAGAAAAAGAUCCUGUGACACCAAUGUGCAUACCUGGAAAUGUCAGGAUUCAGUGUUCUCUCCCUUCAUUUUAAUUCCUUUCCUGCUACCCAGGCCACACAUGAGGAGUUAUCACUGGCAAGAACUGUGGCACUACAAUCAAAUUAUCAACCAGUCACAGCAGCUAAGAGACCAUCAUGGUGGCCCUUUGAAAUUUCUCCUGGUACUUUAACCUUUGCAAUUGUAUGGCCCUUCAUUGCUCAGUGGUUGGUGCAUAUAUACCUUCAAAGAAGGCGAAGAAAACUGGACUGAGAAUUCAGUGUGAUUUUUGCUUAAAGACUACUUGGAUGGGAAGGCCCUGGAAGGUGAAGGAAUUCCAAAUUCACAUCAGAACCUCAGAAUGUGUAACGGCUAAAAAUUCCCUCAGUCAUAAUAAUAUUUUGCACUACCUAAGCGCUAAACAUUUAAAGACUAACAUUACUGAUACUUGAAUAAUCUAUUGCUCUUAGGUUACUUGUAAAAUAAAUAGUUAUCCCACCCAUCCUUAAACUACAGGAAUGUUAACUUAAUUAUUUUGGAAUGUAUUUCUGGAUGGGCAUUCUUGCUUAUGACAGUUCACAAUGAAGAUAUUUGGAAUGGAAAAUAUGUUAAACUGUCACUUUAACAUGAAAACAGUUUCGUAAUUUUAGUACCUUUUGACUAUUUUUACAGGUUUACAUACCUUCAGACAGAAGCAGUGAUGGGGGGGGAAGCAAGUCCAAUCUGUACAUUUCUAGCCAGGCAGAGAUGAUGUAGCUCUGAAGGAUGCAAAUGGUCAGUUUUGCUGCUAAACAAACAUGCAGUAGAUGUCCUUGUAAAUCAGUCAUAGAUGGAAUCAGAUGUUUGACUCCUGUGUGUAACCCUGGCGCUCACUAGAGUUAUACGAGUACCAUCUCCCCAAACUACUGUAGUCUUACGAGCCUAGCAGCUCACAUUAGAGGUAACGGUAACAUGGGGAUUGUUGAAAGUUAGGAUGGUGUAGUUGGAGCUGCAAAGGAGAUCAUCCCCCACCUCCAUAUUAUUCUCUCACUUGUUUCCUUAGUGAUAACAGCUUCCUUUUUAACUAAGACGCACAGUUUAUGCACAAGGUACUUCAGAGUAAUCUAUGAAAACUAGCAACACAGUGUAUGUAAGAUUUUAAAGCAUCAUCCAGUCUAAGAUGUCUGUCAUCUUUUGAUGCAUUUAAUUUAAAGGAUGAAUGACAAAAUCUAGCUGGACAUGGACAAAUGAACAAUUCUACUCUAGAGUAAAAAAGGGUAGGACUGUAUUGCUGCUCAGCAACUCUGUGGUAGUUGCCUGUGUACAUGCACCUACACCAUAGCAUCUGGAACUUCCCCCUUCUCAUUGAGUUGUAAAGCUACUUUGCUUUUGCUUCUACUCACCACAACCUUCAAACAUACAUGCCACAAUAACCAUGGAGUAGCUAAUGUAAAAUUUGACUCCUUUUAACCUGGAAUGAAUUGUUUGUAUGGCCAUCCCCUAUAUGGCUUUCCCUUCUUCCCCCACCAAAUUCUCUUGGAAAGAAAAUAGUGGUUCUUAUACUUAAUUUUUAUUCUUCUACCUCCUGCAAAUACUUUCAGAGGUUUUUUAUCCUAAUGUUAAUUUUUAUUUUCCUUUUAUUGGUACAUAUUUAUUCCCUCAGUUUAUAAUAGUAGGUGCACACACAAGCCUUAUGAAGUUUGCUUAGUCAAACCAUGUUGGGUUUAAAUAAACAUGUAUCCAAGUGGCAUUGUCUGUGUGUGUGGAGAAGAAAAACAAAUAUAGAUAAAAUGCUUCUCAGUUGGUGUAGGGGAAAAAAAUGUUAUGCCAUAACCUGGAUCCAAGAUAAAAAAAAAAAGAGACUUGCAUUGUUUAUAGUUUAAUUUUUUAGUGAGAGGGCUACAAUACGAGUAAUUCAUUUGCAUUAAGAAAUGCUUUCUACCCUGUCUGAAAGGCUCUUAUUUUGUAGUUUGGAAAGCACUUUUCAUACAUGUUCUACUGUACAAAACAGAUGUAAUGAUAGGAUUUAAAUGGUUCUGCCUCUUUUAACAGAACAUGAUUUUAAUCUUAGCUUUAGUUGAAUACUUUUUUAAAGAGAUAUUUCUCCCUCUUCUGAUCUUUGUUGUAAAGCUGAAUAACAAAAUAAAAAGAACAACACGAGAA